UACGUAGGGUGCAAGCGUUGUCCGGAAUUAUUGGGCGUAAAGAGCUCGUAGGCGGUUUGUCGCGUCUGCUGUGAAAACUCGGGGCUUAACCCCGGGCCUGCAGUGGGUACGGGCAGACUAGAGUGCGGUAGGGGUGACUGGAAUUCCUGGUGUAGCGGUGGAAUGCGCAGAUAUCAGGAGGAACACCGAUGGCGAAGGCAGGUCACUGGGCCGCAACUGACGCUGAGGAGCGAAAGCAUGGGGAGCGAACAGG
rnacentral:rRNA from 1 species